GACAGAGGGGGCAAGCGUUGCUCGGAAUUACUGGGCGUAAAGGGCGCGUAGGCGGAAUGGCAAGUCGGUCGUGAAAUCCUUCGGCUCAACCGAAGAACGUCGAUCGAAACUGCCGUUCUUGAGGAUUGCAGAGGAGACUGGAAUUCCCGGUGUAGCGGCGAAAUGUGUAGAGAUCGGAAGGAACAUCAGUGGCGAAAGCGACUUCCUGGACCAGUACCGACGUUCAGGCACGAAAGCGUGGGGAGCAAACAGG
rnacentral:rRNA from 1 species